ACUCAAAUGAAUUGACGGGGACCCGCACAAGCGGUGGAGCAUGUGGAUUAAUUCGAUACUAACCGAAGAACCUUACCCAGGCUUGACAUCGAUUGCAAGCUCUAGAAAUAGGGCCCUCCCCCACAAGGGGACAUGAAGACACUUGUUGCAUGGCUGUCGUCAGCUCGUGCCGUGAGGUGUACGGUUAAGUCCGCCAACGAGCGCAACCCACGUCCUGCGUUACCAGCACAUAAUGGUGGGUACUCACAGGAGACCGCCGGUGUAAGCCGGAGGAAGGGGUGGAUGACGUCAAGUCGGCAUGGCAGUUACGCCUGGGGCUUCACACAUGCUACAAUGGGCGCAACAAAGGGCCGCGAUACCGUAAGGUGGAGCAAAUCCCAAAAAUACGCCCCCAGUUCAGAUUGUGGUCUGCAACUCGACCACAUGAAGUCGGAAUCGCUAGUAAACGCAGGUCAGCUAAACUGCGUUGAAUACGUUCCCGGGUCUUGUACACACCGCCCGU
rnacentral:rRNA from 1 species